UAGACUUCAGCAGCCGUAUCACUUCUGAUGGCCAGGAGGAUGUUGGGUACAAGUCGUGACGAAUUGGCAGAGCUCUGGGAUAGAAAUCUGUAACUUGAUCAAACUUGCUGUUUCCUACACAGCUCUCCAGGGGAUGGUGAUCCACACAGCACUGUGGCGUUUCCAGCUUGCUUUUCUUCAUUAAGAAGAUCGUGUGAGGGAUAAACCUGACAUGAGGCUCGGGGACGCUCUCCGGCUACUGAAAUUGGAUGUUAACCAGGUCAAAAGACUCCUCCCAGCAAGACUCACUUACCAGCAGGUGUCCCAUUGUGUCCCCAUGUCUUCCCAUUUCCAUUUGCACUUAGAAAAGCUUAUUAAUUUUUUUUAUCUUCCCUUAGGAAUAUCAGCUUGUAAAACAUAGCGUGAGAGAUGUUUGAAGGAUGGCCACCCUCUGUCUGAUGCCCUGGAGGAGACCAGAGAGUCCUGCUGGCAGGGAAUGAACUACUGCCUCAGGAACAAAUAGUGAUGGAGAAGAGGCUUGUAGCUCCCAUAUUCUUAUUUCUGUUGAAGGGAAG
rnacentral:lncRNA from 1 species